UACGGAGGGUGCUAGCGUUGUUCGGAAUUACUGGGCGUAAAGCGCACGUAGGCGGCUUUGCAAGUCAGAGGUGAAAGCCCGGGGCUCAACCCCGGAAUUGCCUUUGAGACUGCAUCGCUAGAAUUGUGGAGAGGUAAGUGGAAUUCCGAGUGUAGAGGUGAAAUUCGUAGAUAUUCGGAAGAACACCAGUGGCGAAGGCGGCUCACUGGCCCGAUACUGACGCUGAGGCGCGAAAGCGUGGGGAGCAAACAGG
rnacentral:rRNA from 1 species